rnacentral:rRNA from 1 species
AUUGAACGCUGGCGGCAUGCCUUACACAUGCAAGUCGAACGGUAACGCGGGGCGAACCUGGCGACGAGUGGCGAACGGGUGAGUAAUAUAUCGGAACGUGCCCAGUAGUGGGGGAUAGCCCGGCGAAAGCCGGAUUAAUACCGCAUACGACCUAAGGGUGAAAGCGGGGGAUCGCAAGACCUCGCGCUAUUGGAGCGGCCGAUAUCAGAUUAGGUAGUUGGUGGGGUGAAGGCCUACCAAGCCGACGAUCUGUAGCUGGUCUGAGAGGACGACCAGCCACACUGGGACUGAGACACGGCCCAGACUCCUACGGGAGGCAGCAGUGGGGAAUUUUGGACAAUGGGCGCAAGCCUGAUCCAGCCAUGCCGCGUGCGGG